rnacentral:rRNA from 1 species
CAAUGGCGUAUAUUAAAGUUGUUGCAGUUAAAAAGCUCGUAGUUGGAUUUCUGGUUGGUACGGACGGUCCCGAGCAAUCGGCGAACUGUGUGUGCUGACCUUCCUCUCGGGGGCUGCGUGGUGCUUCAUUGUGCUGCGUGGAAUUCGAGACCUUUACUUUGAAAAAAUUAGAGUGUUCAAAGCAGGCCUUUGCUUGAAUACAUUAGCAUGGAAUAAUGGAAUAGGACUUUUGUUCUAUUUUGUUGGUUUCUAGGACAGAAGUAAUGAUUAAUAGGGACAGUUGGGGGCAUUAGUAUUUAAUUGUCAGAGGUGAAAUUCUUGGAUUUAUGAAAGACUAACUACUGCGAAAGCGUUUGCCAAGGAUGUUUUCAUUAA